ACGAGUUAGGGUCUUCCAGGCCCGACCUCCCAACCCCAUGUUUAUUGAACCUCUGUUGCUUUGGCGGACCCGUCUCACGACCGCCGGAGGACCGCCGCGAGGCGUCCUCUGACCAGCGUCCGCCGACAGCCAACCACUUAACUCUGAAUAAAUCGUGUCAUUAUGUCUAAGUCUAUGAUUAAAUUAAAGCA
rnacentral:misc_RNA from 1 species